UGUGCAAUCUCAGUCCAUUCCAAAGGCU
rnacentral:piRNA from 1 species